GACGAACGCUGGCGGCGUGCUUAACACAUGCAAGUCGAACGGAAAGGCCCUGCUUUUGUGGGGUGCUCGAGUGGCGAACGGGUGAGUAACACGUGAGUAACCUGCCCUUGACUUUGGGAUAACUUCAGGAAACUGGGGCUAAUACCGGAUAGGAGCUCCUGCUGCAUGGUGGGGGUUGGAAAGUUUCGGCGGUUGGGGAUGGACUCGCGGCUUAUCAGCUUGUUGGUGGGGUAGUGGCUUACCAAGGCUUUGACGGGUAGCCGGCCUGAGAGGGUGACCGGCCACAUUGGGACUGAGAUACGGCCCAGACUCCUACGGGAGGCAGCAGUGGGGAAUAUUGCACAAUGGGCGGAAGCCUGGUGCAGCAACGCCGCGUGCGGGAUGACGGCCUUCGGGUUGUAAACCGCUUUCGCCUGUGACGAAGCGUGAGUGACGGUAAUGGGUAAAGAAGCACCGGCUAACUACGUGCCAGCAGCCGCGGUGAUACGUAGGGUGCGAGCGUUGUCCGGAUUUAUUGGGCGUAAAGGGCUCGUAGGUGGUUGAUCGCGUCGGAAGUGUAAUCUUGGGGCUUAACCCUGAGCGUGCUUUCGAUACGGGUUGACUUGAGGAAGGUAGGGGAGAAUGGAAUUCCUGGUGGAGCGGUGGAAUGCGCAGAUAUCAGGGGGAACACCAGUGGCGAAGGCGGUUCUCUGGGCCUUUCCUGACGCUGAGGAGCGAAAGCGUGGGGAGCGAACAGGCUUAGAUACCCUGGUAGUCCACGCUGUAAACGGUGGGUACUAGGUGUGGGGUCCAUUCCACGGGUUCCGUGCCGUAGCUAACGCUUUAAGUACCCCGCCUGGGGAGUACGGCCGCAAGGCUAAAACUCAAAGGAAUUGACGGAGCCCCGCACAAGCGGCGGAGCAUGCGGAUUAAUUCGAUGCAACGCGUAGAACCUUACCUGGGUUUGACAUGGAUCGGGAGCGCUCAGAGAUGGGUGUGCCUCUUUUGGGGUCGGUUCACAGGUGGUGCAUGGCUGUCGUCAGCUCGUGUCGUGAGAUGUUGGGUUAAGUCCCGCAACGAGCGCAACCCUUGUACACUGUUGCCAGCACGUUAUGGUGGGGACUCAGUGGAGACCGCCGGGGUCAACUCGGAGGAAGGUGGGGAUGACGUCAAGUCAUCAUGCCCCUUAUGUCCAGGGCUUCACGCAUGCUACAAUGGCUGGUACAGAGAGUGGCGAGCCUGUGAGGGUGAGCGAAUCUCGGAAAGCCGGUCUCAGUUCGGAUUGGGGUCUGCAACUCGACCUCAUGAAGUCGGAGUCGCUAGUAAUCGCAGAUCAGCAACGCUGCGGUGAAUACGUUCCCGGGGCU
rnacentral:rRNA from 1 species